rnacentral:rRNA from 1 species
CUGGAGGACAGGUGCUGCAUGGCUGUCGUCAGCUCGUGUCGUGAGAUGUUGGGUUAAGUCCCGCACGAGCGCAACCCUUGCCUUUAGUUGCCAGCAGUUCGGCUGGGCACUCUAAAGGGACUGCCGGUGUUAAACCGGAGGAAGGUGGGGGAUGACGUCAAGUCCUCAUGGCCUUUAUGACCAGGGCUACACACGUACUACAAUGGCCGAUACAAAGGGCAGCGACACUGCGAGGUGAAGCCAAUCCCGUAAAAUCGGUCUCAGUCCGGAUUGGAGUCUGCAACUCGACUCCAUGAAGUUGGAAUCGCUAGUAAUCGUGGAUCAGCAUGCCACGGUGAAUACGUUCCCGGGCCUU